UGGAUUCUCUUGCCGGGAAUAGGAGCAGAACGAGAAAAUGAGUACAUUUUUGAGGUAUGUUUUUCUCCAUGUUGUGGCAUCACUGCAAGUGAGCUGCCUUGUUGAGCAUGUAGACAGUUCUAGACGGUUUUGCUGCAUGCUUAUGUGGCUAAUGGUGCCCACACUCACCGACGUAAACGUACGUUCCAUGUCAGCUGACACGAUCAAACUAAUGAGAGCGCCAUGUAAAUUAAAACUCAGUAUCGUAUCCCUAUGACGGUAACGUAUAUCGUGUUUUUGUGUUAAUGAGAAAUUUUUGAUUGUUUCGUUGAAACAUGUCAGCUGACUGCUCUCUUACCCGACAGUGUAGCCAACCUUACAUUUCGAAAUCAUCAAGAAAAUAAAUUUUAAUUUUUAUAAUUUAUUUACCUACAUAUAGUGGAGACAAGCAUGGAACUUUAUGAUAAGGGUAAUCCUCAUUAUAAGGAUCAUAGUAGGCGAUUGACUGUAUUUUGGAUUACUCUUAUCAUAAGAUCCAUGGAAGAAAGAAAAUUAUUUGGGAACAAAUUGACAAGGAACUGUACACAAGUGGUGAGCUAUUCAUGCGAAGGCAGAUAAGCCCGGAAGUCUGCGGCACCAUUAGGCAGGGGAGCAGAAUAUCAUAGGCCGUGGUAUUUGCUUGGGAACAUGCAAUUUUUAAAGCCGCGCGUGAUUUCUCGGCUAAUUCGGUGUUCGCAAAACGUGUGCCCAUAAGUGGUCUUCCCAAGGCCAGUUGUAAAUUUCGUGCCCUCACAAUAGCCGCCAAUGUAUGUUCCUCUGCCAAUACUAUUGCCUUCAGUCAUCGUUGCCACCAAUAAUGGUAUGCAUACCAUCGUCAUCGCCACAAGCGUGUAUUGGUGUUGAUUCUCAUAGCCAUCAACGUCAUUCACGCAAGCUUCAUCUCCGCUACCUCUAUCACUUGCUUCAUCCCAGUGCUCAGUCCCAGUCCACCCCAGAUAUCAAGAGUAAAAUAACGCGAUAAGUGCUGAGGUUGAGAACAGCAUGUUGGAAGCUAUGGCCUCUUCAAAAAAAGAUGUUUGGAAAAGCAAUCCAGCAAUACAACAGAGGACACAUUUGGAAAAAUGUUUGUCGCAAUAAUUUCCCAAAAUGAAUGCAGCUAAGCAAACUCGGAGGCGGCCGCCGUAGCCGAAUGGGUUGGUGCGUGAUUACCAUUCGGAAUUCACAGAGAGGUCGUUGGUUCGAAUCUCGGUGAAAGCAAAAUUAAUAAAAACAUUUUUCUAAUAGCGGUCGCCCCUCGGCAAGCAAUGGCAAACCUCCGAGUGUAUUUCUGCCAUGAAAAAGCUCCUCAUAAAAAUAUCUGCCGUUCGGAGUCGGCUUGAAACUGUAGGUCCCUCCAUUUGUGGAACAACAUCAAUACGCACACCACAAAUACGAGGAGGAGCUCUGCCAAACACCUAACAGAAGUGUACGCGCCAAUUAUUUAUUUUUUUAUUUUUUAAGCAAACUCGGACCAUGCAGCGAAUGAUGGAGGUGGUAUUCGAGAUGCAACAGUAGCAGGAAUGAGAAUUUACUUUCGUAGUUGCGUAGUUUAAUUAUUUGUUCUUCCAAAUCUGAAUUAAAUUUGUUUGAAUUAUUUUUUGUUUCUCUACUGAUUGCAUGUUUUUAAUUUUAGUGUUUCUGGAGUUUAUAACAUAUUUGUUUGCCAUAGACGUAUUUCUAGCUAGUAAGAAAAUACUGAAUUCUGAAAUAUGUAUACUUUGUUCAUGUGCAUAUUCAUACUUAUGUAACCUAUUGUAACUAUUGUGAUUUUUGAAAUAUACCUGAAUUAUGUAGUAAUAAAUGAACUAUCUGAUAAAUGAAAGUAUUUGCUAAUAUUUUAGACUGCAUGAAUUUACAGUUGGACUUGGUAUUUUUAAGUAUAUUGAUUUAAAUAAAUUAUAUAUAUAAGAAUUCAUAAAUAAACGUGUAGAUGCUAAAUG